CAUCUCCUUUUGAUUUUUAUUUAAGGUUUAAUCUGCUCAAUGAAUAUUAAAUUGCCGCGGUAUUUUGACCGUGCAAAGGUAGCAUAAUAAUUAGUUUCUUGAUUAGAAGCUUGAAUGAAUGAUUGGACGAGAAAAUUUCUGUCUCUUUUUAAUUUGUUUUUGAAUUUUAUUUUUAAGUAAAAAAGCUUAAAUUUUAAUAAAAGACGAGAAGACCCUAUAGAGUUUUAUAUUUAAUGUUUAUUUAGUAUUAGAAAUUUUUUUAAAUUUUACUUAUUUAGUUGGGGUGACUGGAGGAUAAAAAUAAUUCCUCUUUUUGUUAAUUGAUGAUUGUUAAAUUGGUUAUCUGAUUUUUUCAAAUAAAAAAUAAAUUACCUUAGGGAUAACAGCGUAAUUUUUCUUUAGAGUUCUUAUUGAAAGAAGAUUUUGCGACCUCGAUGUUGGAUUAAAAUAAAUUUUUGGUGUAGAAGCUAAAAAAUUGGGUCUGUUCGACCUUUAAUAUU
rnacentral:rRNA from 1 species